UGCUGGAGGUAUCAGAAGUGCGAAUGCUGACAUAAGUAACGAUAAAGCGGGUGAAAAGCCCGCUCGCCGGAAGACCAAGGGUUCCUGUCCAACGUUAAUCGGGGCAGGGUGAGUCGACCCCUAAGGCGAGGCCGAAAGGCGUAGUCGAUGGGAAACGGGUUAAUAUUCCCGUACUUGGUGUUACUGCGAAGGGGGGACGGAGAAGGCUAUGUUGGCCGGGCGACGGUUGUCCCGGUUUAAGCGUGUAGGUGUGUGUUCCAGGUAAAUCCGGUUCACUUUAACACUGAGGCGUGAYGACGAGGCACUACGGUGCUGAAGCAACAAAUGCCCUGCUUCCAGGAAAAGCCUCUAAGCAUCAGGUAACAUCAAAUCGUACCCCAAACCGACACAGGUGGUCAGGUAGAGAAUACCAAGGCGCUUGAGAGAACUCGGGUGAAGGAACUAGGCAAAAUGGUGCCGUAACUUCGGGAGAAGGCACGCUGACACGUAGGUGAAGUGAUUUACUCA
rnacentral:rRNA from 1 species